GUCAUAGUCAGUACAUUCAUCUUCAGAUAGCUAGGUGGACCAGUCAUAGUCAGGACAUUCAUCUCCAGAUAGCUAGGUGGACCAGUCAUAGUCAGUACAUUCAUCUCCAGAUAGCUAGGUGGACCAGUCAUAGUCAGUACAUUCAUCUUCAGAUAGCUAGGUGGACCAGUCAUAGUCAGUACAUUCAUCUCCAGAUAGCUAGGUGGACCAGUCAUAGUCAGUACAUUCAUCUCCAGAUAGCUAGGUGGACCAGUCAUAGUCAGUACAUUCAUCUUCAGAUAGCUAGGUGGACCAGUCAUAGUCAGUACAUUCAUCUCCAGAUAGCUAGGUGGACCAGUCAUAGUCAGUACAUUAAUCUCCAGAUAGCUAGGUGGACCAGUCAUAGUCAGUACAUUCAUCUUCAGAUAGCUAGGUGGACCAGUCAUAGUCAGGACAUUCAUCUCCAGAUAGCUAGGUGGACCAGUCAUAGUCAGUACAUUAAUCUCCAGAUAGCUAGGUGGACCAGUCAUAGUCAGUACAUUCAUCUCCAGAUAGCUAGGUGGACCAGUCAUAGUCAGUACAUUCAUCUCCAGAUAGCUAGGUGGACCAGUCAUAGUCAGUACAUUCAUCUUCAGAUAGCUAGGUGGACCA